GACGAACGCUGUCGGCGCGCCUAACACAUGCAAGUCGAACGAAGCUAAGGCUGUCAAAUUUUUCGGAAGGAGACAAAAUUAGUUUAGUGGCGGACGGGUGAGUAACGCGUGAGUAACCUGCCUUUCAGAGGGGGAUAACGUUUGGAAACGAACGCUAAUACCGCAUAAGAUAAAGAUACCGCAUGGUAAAGAUAUCAAAGGAGCAAUCCGCUGAGAGAUGGACUCGCGUCCAAUUAGCUAGUUGGUGAGGUAAAGGCCCACCAAGGCGACGAUUGGUAGCCGGACUGAGAGGUUGACCGGCCACAUUGGGACUGAGACACGGCCCAGACUCCUACGGGAGGCAGCAGUGGGGAAUAUUGCACAAUGGGGGAAACCCUGAUGCAGCGACGCCGAGUGAGGGAAGAAGGUUUUCGGAUUGUAAACCUCUGUCUUUGGUGAAGAAAGAAGACGGUAGCCAAAGAGGAAGCUACGGCUAACUACGUGCCAGCCGCCGCAGUAACAC
rnacentral:rRNA from 1 species